CACAUGGCCCGUACCCCAAACCAACACAGGUGGUCAGGUAGAGAAUACCAAGGCGAUCGAGAGAACUGUGGUUAAGGAACUCGGCAAAAUGCCCCCGUAACUUCGGAAGAAGGGGGACCACGGCUGGUGACCCGCUUUACGCGGUGAGCUGGUGGUGGUCGCAGAGACCAGAGAGAAGCGACUGUUUACUAAAAACACAGGUCCGUGCGAAGACGUAAGUCGAUGUAUACGGACUGACGCCUGCCCGGUGCUGGAAGGUUAAGAGGACCGGUUAGCGGGGUAACCUGCGAAGCUGAGAAUUUAAGCCCCAGUAAACGGCGGUGGUAACUAUAACCAUCCUAAGGUAGCGAAAUUCCUUGUCGGGUAAGUUCCGACCUGCACGAAUGGCGUAACGACUUCUCUGCUGUCUCAACCACAGACUCGGCGAAAUUGCACUACGAGUAAAGAUGCUCGUUACGCGCGGCAGGACGAAAAGACCCCGGGACCUUUACUAUAGCUUGGUAUUGGCGUUCGGUUCGGUUUGUGUAGGAUAGGUGGGAGACUGUGAAACAUGCGCGCCAGCGUGUGUGGAGUCGUUGUUGAAAUACCACUCUGAUCGUAUUGGAUGUCUAACCUCGGCCCAUGAUCUGGGUUAGGGACAGUGCCUGGUGGGUAGUUUAACUGGGGCGGUUGCCUCCCAAAGAGUAACGGAGGCGCCCAAAGGUUCCCUCAGCCUGGAUGGCAAUCAGGUGUUGAGUGCAAGUGCACAAGGGAGCUUGACUGCGAGACGUACAUGUCAAGCAGGGACGAAAGUCGGGACUAGUGAUCCGGCACCGGCAAGUGGAAGCGGUGUCGCUCAACGGAUAAAAGGUACCCCGGGGAUAACAGGCUGAUCUUCCCCAAGAGUCCAUAUCGACGGGAUGGUUUGGCACCUCGAUGUCGGCUCGUCGCAUCCUGGGGCUGGAGUAGGUCCCAAGGGUUGGGCUGUUCGCCCAUUAAAGCGGCACGCGAGCUGGGUUUAGAACGUCGUGAGACAGUUCGGUCUCUAUCCGCCGCGCGCGUAAGAAACUUGAGGAAGGCUGUCCCUAGUACGAGAGGACCGGGACGGACGAACCUCUGGUGUGCCAGUUGUUCCGCCAGGAGCAUCGCUGGUUAGCUACGUUCGGAAGGGAUAACCGCUGAAAGCAUCUAAGCGGGAAGCCUGUUCCAAGAUGAGGUUUCUCACCCUUUUGCGGGUUAAGGCCCCCCACAGACCAUGGGGUUGAUAGGCCAGAACUGGAAGCGCAGCAAUGUGUGGAGGUGACUGGUACUAAUCGGCCGAGGACU
rnacentral:rRNA from 1 species